CCCGUACACAAAAAUGCACAUGCUGUGAGCUCGAUGAGUAGGGCGGGACACGUGGUAUCCUGUCUGAAUAUGGGGGGACCAUCCUCCAAGGCUAAAUACUCCUGACUGACCGAUAGUGAACCAGUACCGUGAGGGAAAGGCGAAAAGAACCCCGGCGAGGGGAGUGAAAAAGAACCUGAAACCGUGUACGUACAAGCAGUGGGAGCACGCUUAGGCGUGUGACUGCGUACCUUUUGUAUAAUGGGUCAGCGACUUAUAUUCUGUAGCAAGGUUAACCGAAUAGGGGAGCCGAAGGGAAACCGAGUCUUAACUGGGCGUUAAGUUGCAGGGUAUAGACCCGAAACCCGGUGAUCUAGCCAUGGGCAGGUUGAAGGUUGGGUAACACUAACUGGAGGACCGAACCGACUAAUGUUGAAAAAUUAGCGGAUGACUUGUGGCUGGGGGUGAAAGGCCAAUCAAACCGGGAGAUAGCUGGUUCUCCCCGAAAGCUAUUUAGGUAGCGCCUCGUGAAUUCAUCUCCGGGGGUAGAGCACUGUUUCGGCAAGGGGGUCAUCCCGACUUACCAACCCGAUGCAAACUGCGAAUACCGGAGAAUGUUAUCACGGGAGACACACGGCGGGUGCUAACGUCCGUCGUGAAGAGGGAAACAACCCAGACCGCCAGCUAAGGUCCCAAAGUCAUGGUUAAGUGGGAAAC
rnacentral:rRNA from 1 species